rnacentral:rRNA from 1 species
UAGGGAAUCUUCGGCAAUGGACGAAAGUCUGACCGAGCAACGCCGCGUGAGUGAAGAAGGUUUUCGGACCGUAAAAACUCUGUUGGUAGAGAAGAACGUUGGUGAGAGUGGAAAGCUCAUCAAGUGACGGUAACUACCCAGAAAGGGACGGCUAACUACGUGUCAG